GUACUUGCUUCGGCAGUACAUAUACAAAAAUUGGAAGGAUAUAGGGAAGACUAGCAUAGCCUCUGUGCAAGGAUGACACGAGAAAGCGUUCCUGAAGCGUUCCACAUUUGU
rfam:Harpegnathos saltator strain R22 G/1 HarSal_1.0_3.contig3888, whole genome shotgun sequence.